UUCUGUCUUCCCUAUACCGACCCGUCUUCGCCGGCGGGCACCACCACCACCAUGGCCGCCGCCGCCACCUCCGCCGCCGCAGCCGUCUCCCCGACGCGCCCGUAUCCCCUCCUCCACCCGAACACCAACGCGACCUUCGUUUCCUUACUGCGGCGGCCGCUCCCCGCCGCCACCUCCCUCGCGCUCUCCGCCCCCUCCCAGCUGUGCGUGCGGGGCCUGGCGCUGGUGCCGGCGGCCAACCCCAAGUACCACAACGCGAAGGCGGACGCGGGCGACGAGGAUGUGGACGGGGAGGAGCUCCUGCGGCGGUUCACGUGGCAGGUGUCCCGCGCGGGCGUCAUGGAGGAGAUCAGGCGGCGCCGGAGGCACGAGGACGCGCGGGACAAGCGCAAGCGCAAGGCACGGUCCGCUGCCUGGAGGUUUCGCCGGAGGCGCUUCAAAGGUCCAUAUCCGUUCGAUGAUAAACAGGGGCCGAAGGAGCAGAACACCGACGACGAUGAGGAGAACGACAACUGGGAGCUCCCUGGUGGAGAGUUGCCGUCUUACAGAUAAAGAGAUAAUCGAGAAACUGGGCAUGGUAUUGCCUGCCGAAGAGUUUCAGCACUUCAGCUCAGCUCUUUUUGGUUAGCUAUUGGAAAUUGAAGCCUCCUGACUGUGCUGCAAAUACUUGAUCUCCCUUGUGUUCUUGUGGCUUCAUGUACGGAGUACUGGACAGGGAAAGAGACUAACGACUGGUUUGUUCUCAGAAGAACUACCAUGAUGCUACGUAUUUUUUGCUGCUGUCACUACGGCAAAUCAUGUCGCAGAUUUCACGCAAAAACGAAGUGGAGAAAACGAUGAGGCGACGAAGAGGGGAAUGAACGGCGAGGAAAGCUCGCGGCGCCCACCUGUUUAGAUUUGCCACGUGAUGUUCCUUCUGGUGCUAUCCUGCGCAUGAUUGGGGGUUCCGUCCUCUUCGUCGUCGUCUUGAUUGAGCUGGCAAUUAUCGUGGCGGGCCACAGGUCGAGCUGCAGGAAAGCUCGAAAGGUCCAUGGCACAGCAACGGGGACGUGGAAGGUGUUGCCUCCGGAGGAGGCGACGCAAGCAUGCGACUGGGUGCCUACCUCUGGACCCACACCGGCGCACCAG